rnacentral:rRNA from 1 species
UAGGGAAUCUUCCGCAAUGGACGCAAGUCUGACGGAGCAACGCCGCGUGAGUGAAGAAGGAUUUCGGUUCGUAAAACUCCGUUGUUAGAGAAGAACAGCGCAUAGAGUAACCGUUAUGCGUGUGACGGUAUCUAACCAGAAAGCCACGGCUAAUUACGUGCCAGCAGCCGCGGUAAUACGUAGGUGGCAAGCGUUGUCCGGAUUUAUUGGGCGUAAAGCGAGCGCAGGCGGUCAAUUAAGUCUGGUGUGAAAGCCCCCGGCUCAACCGGGGAGGGUCAUUGGAAACUGGUUGACUUUAGUGCAGAAGGGGAGAGUGGAAUUCCAUGUGUAGCGGUGAAAUGCAUAGAUAUAUGGAGGACCACCGGUGGCGAAAGCGGCUCUCUGGUCUGUAACUGACGCUGAGGCUCGAAAGCGUGGGGAGCGAGCAGG